GGCGUUGGCGGGAGCUACACAUGCAAGUCGAGCGGCAGCGGAGAGUAGCUUGCUACUUUGCCGGCGAGCGGCGGACGGGUGAGUAAUGCUUGGGGAUCUGCCCAUUCGAGGGGGAUAACCGUUGGAAACGACGGCUAAUACCGCAUACGCCCUACGGGGGAAAGCAGGGGACCUUUUGGCCUUGCGCGAAUGGAUGAACCCAAGUGAGAUUAGCUGGUUGGUGAGGUAACGGCUCACCAAGGCGACGAUCUCUAACUGGUCUGAGAGGAUGACCAGUCACACUGGGACUGAGACACGGCCCAGACUCCUACGGGAGGCAGCAGUGGGGAAUAUUGCACAAUGGGGGAAACCCUGAUGCAGCCAUGCCGCGUGUGUGAAGAAGGCCUUCGGGUUGUAAAGCACUUUCAGUGGGGAGGAAAGGUGUGUGGCGAAUACCCGCGCACUGUGACGUUACCCACAGAAGAAGCACCGGCUAACUCCGUGCCAGCAGCCGCGGUAAU
rnacentral:rRNA from 1 species